GGUGGAGAUGGAGGCGAGGUGACUUCAACACUGCACUCUAGUACAGGGAGAUCGGGAAUGUACAUUCUCCCUAGUCUGAUAACUCUAUGCAAGAGGCUCUCCAGAGGGUAAUGAGGUCUGCACAACGGAUCACCGGUGGCAAACUGCCUGCCCUCCAGGAGACCUACACUGCCCGAUGUCACAGGAAGGUCAUACAGAUCAUCAAGGACAACAACCACCCGAGCCACUGCCUGUUCACCCCGCUAUCAUCCAGAAGGCGAGUUCGUCUUGUCUCGUCAUGCCUACCAGCGUUUUUCCCGUACAGCGGUUUUCUUUCUCGUUCCUGUUUUCUAGUUUUCCCGCUUUUGACCAUUUUGCCUGCCCUGACCCUGACCCUGAGCCUGGCUGCUGUACUGUACCUUGUGACACUGCCCUGGAUGACUGACCUCUGCUGACCCUGAGCCCGCCUGCCGUUCUGUACCGUUCGGACUCUGCUUUGGAUUACUGACCUCUGCCUGCCCUGUCGUUUUCCUGCACCCUGUUAUUGUAAUACAUUUUGUUACUUUGUACUGUCUGCAUCUGGGUCUUCUCCUGAGGUCUGAUAAUACUGCGUGAAAGUAGACUGAAUUUGGCAGUAUUUUUUUCAUUGUCUAUCAAUAUUUUCAGUUAACCUCUACAAGGCAACCCCACUGUUGCAGAAGUGAAGAAAAGGACAGAAAAGGUGGGGAUCCCUGAAAACUUUGCGAUACCUUUUCAUUUCUUCUUGUUUCUCAUCGACUGAAUCCCACAUUCUGAAAUGUAUUGUCACCGCAGUUAUUUUCAGUUCUGCUUUACUGUUUUGGGUUAAUUUUGAAAUGUGAUAGAUUUACGACUUGAUUUAUGCUUGAGGGGAAAAUGAGUAAAUAAGAUAAUGUUGAUAACCCAUAAUCAUGUUGUAUUUUUUGCUUGAUGUAGUAGCCAUGUAUUAACCCAAUGAAUUAAGCUUAAAUGAACCCCAUUGUAGCCUGUUUAUACUGGGUUCUAACAUGGGCCCUUCGUCCUGAUCUUUACCACAUUCUGAUUGUGCCCACUUUGUUUUCUGACUGUGAUUAGAUCUUCCUGUCCACCUCUGGAGGGGCCAGGAUAUCUGGUCAGAAUGAGGACACAGUGGAUGGAUAAGAGACACAUUUUAAUACCAUGUGUAGAUGCAACGGCUACAUUGUGCACAAAAUCAGAAUGUGUAUAAGUUUAGAACAAAGAAUGCAUGUCGGAACCAGUGGGGUAAAGAUUUUGGGUAUCUGUACUUUACUUUACUAUUUAUACUGUAUUUUUACAACUUUUACAUUUACUUCAUUUACAUUCCUAUAGAAAAUAAUGUACUUUCUACUCCAUACAUUUCUCUGACACCCAAAAGUACUCAUUACAUUUUGAAUGUAAGCAUGACAGGAAAAUUGUCAAAUUCACAUACUUAUCAAGAGAACAUCCCUGGUCAUCCCUAACUGCCUCUGAUCUGGCAGACUCACUGAACACAUUAUUACUGGUUUUUAUAUGAUAUCUGAUUUCUGGAGUGUGCCUCUGGCUAUCCGUCAAUAAAUAAAAAAACAAGAAAAUU